CGCAGGCCACGCCCCCCCACAAAGAUAAACCUACAGCGUAGGACUCGUCGAUUGCCAUUUGAAGUUCCUUGGAGUAGGAUUCGGACUCGGCUGCGUAUCUGGCAACCUCAGUCAUGGAGAGUGGGAGGGGACUACAACAUUUUGACCGUGAUUGCAGUACCAUUUCUGGCCACAUUACUACAUCUGGCACCUUUAAUCCCAGCAGCACUAACGGUAGCACGUCAUCUGAAUACAACAGACAAGCAUAACAGGGAGCCCCAGUUCACGUCUGCCGCUAGACCAAUGUCACCGAGGAACGACUUAAGUUUGUGGUCAAAAGUUUGCAUUUUUGAUGUGAACCGUUGGAGUUGGAACCAGAAAAAUCGUAUUAAUUCCCAUCCCUAUGCUGUCACGACUUGGACUAUGGUGACGCAAAUUACUGCGUGGAUUGUUUUCCCGUGGUGCAAAUCGACUGGACCGGACAUGGCGUGAAGGAUGUCUCAUGGGUGACGGUGGCGAGGAGAAAGACACUGAAGCAUCUCUGGUGGGUCGUAGAUGCAGGAUUCCGGAGGUGCUGCUGGGAUUGCUGUGGCUGAAUCCUUUGCUGGGUUCCUGCGUGGCAACGGAGGAGG